AAUGAACGCUGGCGGCAUGCCUAACACAUGCAAGUCGAACGAAGCCUUCGGGCUUAGUGGCGCACGGGUGCGUAACGCGUGGGAAUCUGCCCUUGGGUUCGGAAUAACAGUGGGAACUACUGCUAAUACCGAAUGAUGUCGUAAGACCAAAGAUUUAUCGCCCAGGGAUGAGCCCGCGUAGGAUUAGCUAGUUGGUGUGGUAAAGACGCACCAAGGCGACGAUCCUUAGCUGGUCUGAGAGGAUGAUCAGCCACACUGGGACUGAGACACGGCCCAGACUCCUACGGGA
rnacentral:rRNA from 1 species